rnacentral:rRNA from 1 species
UACGUAGGGUCCAAGCGUUAAUCGGAAUUACUGGGCGUAAAGUGUGCGCAGGCGGCCGAGCAAGUCGAGUGUGAAAGCCCCGAGCUUAACUUGGGAACUGCGCUCGAAACUACUUGGCUAGAGUGUGGCAGAGGGAGGUGGAAUUCCACGUGUAGCGGUGAAAUGCGUAGAGAUGUGGAGGAACACCGAUGGCGAAGGCAGCCUCCUGGGCCAACACUGACGCUCAUGCACGAAAGCGUGGGGAGCAAACAGG